rnacentral:rRNA from 1 species
AGUGAACGCUGGCGGUAGGCCUAACACAUGCAAGUCGAACGGCAGCACAGUAAGAGCUUGCUCUUACGGGUGGCGAGUGGCGGACGGGUGAGGAAUACAUCGGAAUCUACUUUUUCGUGGGGGAUAACGUAGGGAAACUUACGCUAAUACCGCAUACGACCUACGGGUGAAAGCAGGGGAUCUUCGGACCUUGCGCGAUUGAAUGAGCCGAUGUCGGAUUAGCUAGUUGGCGGGGUAAAGGCCCACCAAGGCGACGAUCCGUAGCUGGUCUGAGAGGAUAAUCCGCCACACUGGAACUGAGACACGGUCCAGACUCCUACGGGAGGCAGCAGUGGGGAAUAUUGGACAAUGGGCGCAAGCCUGAUCCAGCCAUACCGCGUGGGUGAAGAAGGCCUUCGGGUUGUAAAGCCCUUUUGUUGGGAAAGAAAAGCAGCAGGUUAAUACCCCGCUGUUCUGACGGUACCCAAAGAAUAAGCACCGGCUAACUUCGUG